rnacentral:lncRNA from 1 species
AGUUUCACUCUUGUUGUCCAGGCUGGACUGCAAUGGUCUGAUCUCGGCUCACUGCAACCCCGGCCUACUGGGUUCAAGCGAUUCCCCUGCCUCAGCCUCCCAAGUAGCUGGGAUUACAGGCGCCCUCCACCAUGCCCGGCUAAUUUUUGUAUUUUUAGUAGAGGCGGGGUUUCUCCAUGUUGGCCAGGCUGGUCUGGAACUCCUCACCUCAGAUGAUCUGCCCACCUCGGCCUCCCAAAGUGCUGGGAUUACAGGCGUGACCCACCGCGCCUAGCCCCCAGCUUCUUUCACCAGCAGAAGGCGGGCAAGCCUCAGGGUGAGAGGACUUCAAAGCACAUUUCACAUUGCAGAGGACAGGGUUUGGUGGUCGUGGGUACUCCCUUCCCUUCCAUCGUUUAGUUUUUUUCAUUGGGAAGAAAUGGUAAAAGGUGCUAGGACUCGAUGGGCACAUUUCAGGUGGAGGUUGGGAAGGUGGAUAUCCACCUCUCGAUCUUACUAUUUUCACUUUCCACCCCGCCCCAUAGAAAGUGGGAAAACUGGCGCACGUGAAUCCAAGGACACGCCUGUGUGCGCUCGCACCCCAGGGCACCAGCCCCCACCACCCACACCGCAGGUCCUUGAUUGGACGCCUGUUUUCACCUGACUGCCCAGCCCUCCGGUGCUUUCCGGGAAGCGUUUGGGAGAAAAGUGUGUGGCCGCAGUAGUGGAGAGCCCCUGUCUUAGGAUUCGUCACUGCUACGCCCAGACCUCUUCGCCGUCCAAGAGCCUGGGGCCGUGGGGGGCGGGGCGGCCUGCUAUCGGCCCCGCCUCUCUCCCCAGGCCCGGCGGGGAAGCAGUGGCCUUGUGAGCAUGAGGAGCUGCCGCCACCGCCUGCUUCUCGUCGUCCUCGUCCUCCGGGGCCCCGGCGUCGUGGGCCGCGAAUGGCCCUGGAAGAGACGUCGCCGCCCCUUCAUCCGCCUCUCUCUCACCGCGCCGCUCUCGCCUCCUCAUCCUGCGCUGCGGGCUCAGGCGGAACCCGGUUCGGGCGGCGACUCGCGCUUCUCUGGGCGGCGGCGCUUGGCCAUGUCGUGUCGGGGAAGGUAAUGAGCCGCAGAGCCCCGGGGUCUCGGCUGAGCAGCGGCGGCGGCGGCGGCACCAACUAUCCGCGGAGCUGGAAUGACUGGCAACCCAGGUGGGUGACCGGCCCGGGACCCCGCCCCC